rnacentral:rRNA from 1 species
AUUGAACGCUAGCGGGAUGCCUUACACAUGCAAGUCGAACGGAGUGGGGAACGGGUGAGUAAUGUAUCGGAAGGUGCCCAGUAGCGGGGGAUAACUAAGCGAAAGCGUAGCUAAUACCGCAUACUAUUGGAGCGGCCGGUGUCGGAUUGGAUAGUUGGUGGGGUAACGGCUCACCAAGGCGACGGUCCGUAGCUGGUUUGAGAGGCUGACCAGCCACACUGGGACUGAGACACGGCCCAGACUCCUACGGGAGGCAGCAGUGGGGAAUUUUGGACAAUGGGGGAAAGCCUGAUCCAGCCAUCCCGCGUGUGUGAAGAAGGCCUUCGGGUUGUAAAGCACUUUUGUCAGGGAAGCGGUACCUGCAGAAUAAGCACCGGCUAACUACGUGCCAGCAGCCGCGGUAAUUC